GACGAACGCUGGCGGCGUGCUUAACACAUGCAAGUCGAACGGAAAGGCCCUGCUUUUGUGGGGUGCUCGAGUGGCGUACGGGUGAGUAACACGUGAGUAACCUGCCCUUGACUUUGGGAUAACUUCAGGAAACUGGGGCUAAUACCGGAUAGGAGCUCCUGCUGCAUGGUGGGGGUUGGAAAGUUUCGGCGGUUGGGGAUGGACUCGCGGCUUAUCAGCUUGUUGGUGGGGUAGUGGCUUACCAAGGCUUUGACGGGUAGCCGGCCUGAGAGGGUGACCGGCCACAUUGGGACUGAGAUACGGCCCAGACUCCUACGGGAGGCAGCAGUGGGGAAUAUUGCACAAUGGGCGGAAGCCUGAUGCAGCAACGCCGCGUGCGGGAUGACGGCCUUCGGGUUGUAAACCGCUUUCGCCUGUGGCGAAGCGUGAGUGACGGUAAUGGGUAAAGAAGCACCGGCUAACUACGUG
rnacentral:rRNA from 1 species